rnacentral:lncRNA from 1 species
GUCAUUUUUAGAAAACACAGCCUCCCUGUUUUUGUUAAAAGGAAAGACAGCUCCGUAUUAAGGACCCUGGUGUGGACUCCAGAGUGGCUUACGCAGGUGGUCCUCAACUUACAAAGUGACCAAAGUUAACAACGGUUCUGAAAAACGUGCCUUAGGGCCAUUUUUUCACACACCAUCCGUGUUCAGACGCUGACUCACAUUAUGAUGGUCGUGGUCCUGCGAUCCCCUUUUGUGACGUCAGACAAGCCAAGUUCAUGGGGAUUCACUUAACCACCAUGUGACUGCGGGAUCCCCUUGAACAACGGUGGCAUAAAAUGGGGCAAAACUAACCACCGUCUUGCUUAACGACAGAAAUGUUGGACUUCGUUGUGGCUGUAAUUCAAGUACCUCCGUUUGAGCUGGAGUUCUCUCAUUGACGGGCAAAACCUUGCAAGAUUCCUUCUCCUUUUGUAACUUGAUGUCAUCUGCUCCCCCCCCAGAUCCCAUUUCGUCCCCUCUGAGGACCCUGAGCGAUCUGCCCGGGAUCCAGUCCUCCACGGGAGAAGCAGAACUGCCAAAGAGACAAGGGAACCGGCUGAACUGUUCAACCAUCAUCCAGCCCCCGGGACUGCCAGCCCUAGAUCUUCCUGCUGCUGCUGCUUCCACUGCUAGAGAAAUCGGAAUUUGCUGGGAAAAAAAACCGAACCAAAGCAAACCGAACCAAGAGCUUUUCAUCGCCCGGCCGAGGAAGGAAGGCAUGCUUCGCUGUUUCUGCUCCUCCUGUUUUCAUCCCCGUUAAAAGGUCCGUCCGCCCGCGGGAAAGCAGGCAGGCAGAUCUGGGCACAGCAGAAGUUUGCUGCACGGGGGUAGGCAUCGCAUCGGCUGGACCCUGGGGAUGGCUGCCCAGAACGGGUGGGGGUGUGGGAAGAUGCCAGGCUGGCACCCAGGGAUGCAGUUAUCUGUCCGAAAGCUCCUUUCUCUCUCUCUCUCUCUCUCUCUCUCUUUCUUUCUUUUCCUGGCUCUCCCCCUCCUCUUGGGAAAGUCUCCUUCCCAGCAGGGAUGACCCCCACCAGAGUUGAA